AUACCUUUCUCGGCCUUUUGGCUAAGAUCAAGUGUAGUAUCUGUUCUUAUCAGUUUAAUAUCUGAUAUGUGAGUCAUCGACUCACACGAUAUUAACUUAAUUUUUUUAGGGGGAAAGUCCACCACGGUAGCUUGCUAUCAGGACUUUCAAGCGUCGCCUUGGUGGUGCACUACAACCUUGGCCUGGCACACCCCAC
rfam:Nicotiana sylvestris Nsyl_contig128949, whole genome shotgun sequence.